rnacentral:tRNA from 1 species
GCCUGGGUGGCGAAAUUGGUAGACGCAAGGGACUUAAAAUCCCUCGCUCGAAAGGGCGUGCCGGUUCGAUUCCGGCCCCAGGCACCA